ACGUAAACAAACGCAGUGAGAAAAACUAUAAUUUUUGUUCAAAGUUAUCUUGAGAUUCUAUAACUUUCUGCAAAAAUAUCAUAUACCAUAUGCAUAAUCUUUUUUCACCAUUCGUGCAAAUCGUACUUGUAUUGUUCGUCCAUAAUUAAUAUUCAAAAACUAGUAUGAUUUGCGAAUUGGAAUUUCAUCUCUCGUUUCGAAUCAAAAUUAUGAAUGAAAAUCGAUGUUUCGAGGUUUCUUCCUGAAUCUGUGGCAUCCAAUGCGAUAAACUCUUCGAUGAUGACGGUAAAUUUGCAGCUUGCCGAUAUUUUUCAAUACGUCGGAGGAGGAAGCAGGUUGAUAGUCGAAGGUGAACGGGUGUUUCAAGCUAACCACUUGCUUCUUGUCGGAGUUCAAACCGUGCACGAGGACGGCUUUACCAUAUUUGCGAUUUGUUUGAAGUCAUCAUCAUCUAGAGCUGAUCCACACAAAAUUUCCAUCCGCACCAGACCUUCCUUUGAAAAGUGGUCUUUUCAGUGUUCGUGCAAAGCUGGAAUGGGAAAAUGCAAACACAUAAUGGCCGUUUUAAAACAUCUUCUAAUGUUCCCUUCAGUUCCAUUGCUUACAGUAACAGAUUUGCAACAAAAGUGGGGUAAAAUUGCAGAAAAAGUUGCUGACGAUAUGUACAAGACAACACCAUUGACCGCAUUCUGCAAAAAAAUGACGAAUACAAAAGAUACGACUGAAGCUGCCUCGCCGCGGGUUUGACUCACGAUGAGGGUACCAACAUUCUUCAGCUUUUCGUGAAACGUUUGCUUCCAAUUUAUUGAUCGAUUUUUUAAAAUAAAAUUUUAAUUAUUAAUUAUUAGGAUUCCCUGAAAGCGGUCUGGCAUACGAAAAGAAAGGACGAGAAAUGAAAAAUAUUGACAAAAAUGAUGAAUCUGAUGUUCUGAAUAUACUUCUCGAUAUAGAUGUGCAAAGUCAUUCUACAGAAUCCAUUGAUUCGUUAAUUUCUAUUGAAGAAAAUAUGACUUGCAGUCUACUUAAAUCCUUCCUGAGAAGAUCGUUUCAUCCUGAUAACUUCACGAUGAUCGAUCGUGAAAUAAUGGAAUUUAUAGGUCCGUUAGAAAAGGAUCUGCAACUUCAUUUCGAAAUCAAUGUGAAAGUAUCGGAAUACGAGUCUUUGAAAAUAUGUACAAGAACUAUAGAACAAAGAGUAUCAUCGCAAUGGAAAAAAGAACGAAGCCGGUGCAUACUCUGUGUAUACAUACUACACAAAUCAACCCGACAAGAACAAAAAUUGGAAAAGUAAAAUCCUGAGUAUGGUGACACCGAAACAUCUUUCAACACCAGCAAUCGUACAUGGGAUCCGAUGCGAAUCAAAAGCCAUAGCAGCAUAUGAGCGAGACUACAGAAAAAACGUUUGGAGUUGUGGUUUCGUAAUACCCCCACAUAUUUCAUGGCUGGGAUGUUCUCCUGACGGAAUUGUUAUAAACGAAGGGAGAAUAAUAGAAAUUAAGUGUCCAAAAGAAGGGGAAAAUAAAUCAUUGAGUGAUUUAAUUGAUGUUCUCCCCUAUUUUACAAGAUUAAAUGUUUUGAAAAAAAAUCAUCAAUAUUACGCACAGUUGCAACUAACUAUGUUCAUAACAAAAUGUAGAGUAGCAGAUUUUAUAAUCUAUUCAGAAUAUGAUGAUAAAUGCUAUGUUCAGGAAGUUCAAUUCGAUCCAGAUUAUGUUAGAACGAUGGUAGCAGUGCUGAAGGAGGUUUAUUUUAAUGUUUUUUUGAAAUAUCUAUAUUCGUCUGUUUAAUA